ACUACGGGAGGCAGCAGUGGGGAAUAUUGCACAAUGGGCGAAAGCCUGAUGCAGCAACGCCGCGUGAGCGAUGAAGGCCUUCGGGUCGUAAAGCUCUGUCCUCAAGGAAGAUAAUGACGGUACUUGAGGAGGAAGCCCCGGCUAACUACGUGCCAGCAGCCGCGGUAAUACGUAGGGGGCUAGCGUUAUCCGGAAUUACUGGGCGUAAAGGGGUCGUAGGUGGUUUCUUAAGUCAGAGGUGAAAGGCUACGGCUCAACCGUAGUAAGCCUUUGAAAAUGGGGAACUUGAGUGCAGGAGAGGAGAGUGGAAUUCCUAGAGUAGCGGUGAAAUGCGUAGAUAUUAGGAGGAACACCAGUUGCGAAGGCGGCUCUCUGGACUGUAACUGACACUGAGGCACGAAAGCGUGGGGAGCAAACAGGAUUAGAUACCCCAGUAGUC
rnacentral:rRNA from 1 species